UACAGAGGGGGCAAGCGUUGUUCGGAAUUACUGGGCGUAAAGGGCGCGUAGGCGGCCUGUUAAGUCAGACGUGAAAUCCCUCGGCUCAACCGGGGAACUGCGUCUGAUACUGGCGGGCUUGAAUUCGGGAGAGGGAUGUGGAAUUCCAGGUGUAGCGGUGAAAUGCGUAGAUAUCGGGAGGAACACCUAUGGCGAAGGCAGCUCGCUGGGACGUUACUGACGCUGAGGAGCGAAAGCGUGGGGAGCGAACAGG
rnacentral:rRNA from 1 species